GGGGUUGUGGCUCAGUGGUAGAGCACUUGCCUAGCAUGUGUGAGGUCCUGGGUUCAAUCCUCAGCACCA
rnacentral:tRNA from 1 species